UGGGCAAAAUAUCCGACCCGACCCGAUCCGACCCGAUCCGAUCCGAAAAAUUUCGGGUUCGGAUCGGAUCGGAUGGUGAACAAAACCCGAUCGGGUGAAAUUAUCUCAACCCGAUCGGAUCAUGUUCGGAUCGGGUGAAACCCGAUCCGAUCCGAAAACCCGAUCGGGUUGAGAAAAAAAAAUUUUGCAAAUAUAAAUCACAGAAUACAAAAUACAAAUACACACUCACACGAGUACACGACACAAUCACUGAAUCAGACAACCAGUAUUCAGUAACUCACAGAAUACAGAAUCUACAGAUCACACAUCACAGACUUCACAGUGUCACACAGAUUCACGGAUUUACAUUUUACAGUAAUUCACAAAGUAUUCACCUCACCGCAACAAAACAAUUCAGUAUUAGUAAUUCACAGAGAAAAGAACACAAGCAAAGCAAAGUCUCAUUUUGGCUCACAAACCCUCACUCACUCAGACACUCACCAGUCACUGCCUCACGGUAUCACAAACCCUCACUGUCACACACAAAUCACUGAAACCAGCACUCAAGCCGUCAAGCACAAGCAGCCAACCCACACCCAUUCACGCCUCACGGCCUCCGUCGCUCACCACACGCAGCAAACACACACGCACAGUUCACAGAGCUACCUUCAACCGGCCACCACACGCAGCAACCGCUGCCGAGAACGACCCCAACCGAAGUCGAAGCUGAUUUGCGAAGAUCGUGACCCGAUCUACAGAUCUGCUGCAACCAAGCGCCGGAUCCAAGCCUUGAAUCCUCCACUCCACCAUCACUCACUCCGAUUGAAGAUCCACCCGGCAAGCUGCCUCUGAUCCACUCGAGUCUCCACCAUUGGCAUUCAUGGGUCACGGCUGUUGAGUGUUGACAUCCGGCCACCACACCCUCACGGUCACGCCUCACGGGUCAUGGCUCCAGUCUCAAAACUCAAAAGGUCUCUUCACUCUCUGUUUUGGAAGUUGGAAGUUUGGAUUUGGAGCUUGAACUCUUGAAGCCCGAACCGAAUCAGCAAAUCCGGCUUUUGAACUUGUUUAAGUGAUGGUAUAUAUAUAAUAUAUAAUUAUAUAUGCAUUAAUGAUUAAUUAUAAUUGUUAUUUUUUAUAUGUUAUAUGAGAAAUGUUAAUUGUAACUUUGUAUGUUAAUUAUAUAUAAUUAUAUAUUGUUAAAUUUUAUCAAUAAAAUGAAAAUAAUCCGGCAUUAAUUUUUUGUUACUUAUUAAUAAUUGAUUUUUUGUAUGAAUAGUAAUGUUAGAUUAAAAAUUAAAAUUAAAUAUUAUGUUACAAUAUAAAUUAUAAUUAUAUAUGUCAUAUGAUAUGUGUAUUUGUACAAUAGUUUCAACUUCAACCAAAAAUUAACCAAUUUAAUUGCAGUAGUUUCAAGUUUCAACUUCAACAAAUAAUUAAUCAAUUUAAUUAAUUGCAUGAUAACCAAUAAGUAAAUAUUAAGUGGUUAAGUACAUAUAAUGUGGGCAUAAUAAGAAUUAAGAAUUUAAGAUAUGGAUAUGUAAUUAAUAUUAUUUUAUUUUGGCUAAUGGAUAAUUAGAUAUUAUAAAUUAAAUAAUUACAUUAAUUUCUUGGUUUUCUUUUAUGGAAUAUGCAUCUUGAAUUCUUGAUCAUAUAUAAAUAUUAUGGUGGAAAAUUAGAAAUAUCGAUUUCAAAAAGUUUCAUAAAAUUAAAUUAACAAUUAUUUGAAUCAAUUUGUAAUACUAACUAUUAAGUAGAUUUUUUUAAUAGUCUUUUUGUGUUUUAAUUUAUGAAUUAAUGAUUAAUAAUUAUUUUAAAUUUAAACUUUGUGUUAAUUUUAAUUUUAUGCUUUGUUUUAAUUUUUAAUUUUGAAUCAUUUGAAUUUAAUUCUAUAGUAGUUUUUGAAUCAUUUGAAUUAAUUUUGAAUCAUUCACAAAGUAUGCAGAUGCUUAAUUUUGAGUUUUUGACAAAGAAAAAUUAAAAAUGUGCAAGUAAUCAAGGCUUUUGCCUAAGUUCACAUUUCACAACACAGCAGCAGCAGCAAAUGCAAAUCCCAGAUCAAAUAUAGGCAAGAGAUGAUUCCUAAUAACUGUAGGCUGUAGCAACCCAUAGCAAUGAAACCGAGGAGGCUAAUUAAGGGCUUUCUAGAGCUUGACAAUUUCAGGAAUAUGAACUGGGUAACGAUCAAUGCAAACCAAGGGUCCGAAUAACCCAAUUGCGCCAAAUUAAUCAUAACCCGAAUUGAUCCGAAUAACCCGAAUUUAAUCCGAACCCGAUUUAACCCCAAUCCGAUCUGAUUACACCCGACCCGAAUUAACCCGAAUUCAUCCGAAUAACCCGAAUUUAAUCCGAACCCGAAUUAACCCGAAUCCAAUCCGAUCCGAACUCCACCCGACUUUUUAACCCGAUCCGAUCCGAUCCGAAUUUAAUUCGGAUCGGAUCGGAUCGGGUUAUAAGUUCGGGUGGAGUUCGGAUCGAUUUUUAUCCAACCCGACCAACCCGAAACCCGAUCGGGUUGAUCCGAACCCGACCCGAACCCGAUUUUGCCCACCCCUAAUAACAACAACAAAGAUAAUAUUGUUAAUAAUGAUAAAUUAAUUAUUUUUAUUGUUAAUAAUAAUAAUAUUAAUGAAAAUAAUAAUAAUAAUAAUAAUUAAUAAUAACUAAAAUAAUAAAGUUAAUAAAAUUUAAUAAUAAUAAUAAUAAUGAUAAUUAAUGACAUUUAAAAUAAUAAAAUUAUUUGUGAUUUGAACGAUGAUUAAUUUAGGAAAUAUGAAAAAAUUAGAAGGAUAGAAAAGUAAAUUUAUAUUUCAUUCUCAUUCCCACAUUUUCAUUUCCAACCCCCCAUGGGAAUGAGAUUGUCAUUCUUUAUUCCCAAAUUAUGUGGAACCCACACAUUUUAUUCUCAUUCCCAAAUUACAUUUUGCCAAGUAAACAUAAGUUUCAUUCUCAUUCCUUCAUUCAAAUUUCCUAAACCCACAAGUAAACUCAUCAUUAAUAUAUUGUCCAUCUGUAAACCUUUCCUUUGACUUCUGUGUAUUUUGGUGAAGAGAAACAAAAUCUAGUUCAAACUCAAACCGCAUAUGAGGAGAAUAAGAGGAGAAAUAUAGUAGCUGAUCUUGGAUGAAUUUAUAUUGAAGAUAAACUCUAAUUUCAUAAAUAUGUGGUAUGAAGAAUCCAUAUUCACAGAUUUUCUUUUUCUUAAUUGAAAUUUUUGGAAAUGAUUUGCCAUAAAGUAUUAUGGAACACCACAUAAAAUUACAAAAAAUAAUAGUUAUCAUUGAUAAUUAAUCUCAUAUUGUGACUAUAAUCAAUGAAUAAAAGGAUAAUAUAGCGUACGACAUGACACUUCUAUAUCAGAUGUCCGAUCUGUUUCGAUUUUACAAUAUUGAGUUUAAUUUUAGACAAAUAUACUGUGGUGAUACAACGUUAUGAUAUAUAUGUGAGCAAACAUCAUAGUAUUAAUUGUGGAUAGCUUCGGAAAGUCAAAUUGAACCAGAUGAAAAUUUAAAACUACCUAGGGACUCUAGCACUAAUCUUUGAACAAAAUGUAUUGUUCUAUUCGGAGCUCAUCAAAAUCAGAUUUUCUUACGAAAUUUAAUAUUCUUGAGCCAAUUCUGAAGCCACACAAGAGUAAUGUUCUUGCGAAUUCUAUUUAUACAGUACUGAUAAAUUUGUGUUAGAACUAUAAACAAAAUUAACACUUGAAAUGUAACAAAAAAUUUGUAAAUCAAUAUUAAGUGUCAAAUAAUACAUUAAUUUUGUAAAUCAUACAUAAAAUUAGUACUGAAUAAUUUUUUCUCUAGUUUUUACGAGCAUACAUCAAAUAAGGAAGUCUGCAAUUGUGAUAUUACCAGAGAAUAUUCAGAAGUUGUUAUGGAAGAUCAUCACGGGGUCUCCAUUAAGAGCAGCCUUUAUGGCUUUGUUCGUCAGUUCCUUAUUAAUACGUGAAAGAAUUACAAUAUUUUAUGCCUCUACCGGUACGAACUAAUGAUGUGAUCAAUUCCCUUAAGGAAGAUAUAGCCCAGGUCAAUGACAUUAAUCAUGUCAGAUGUCAAUUUAAAAAAAAGAUCUGGUGAUGAUUAAGUACAGAAAACAUAAGAAAAUCAAAUCAUUUAGCAAACAGCCAUUGGUUGCUAAACUAAUAAAGAUCAGCCCAUUCGGAGCAGCCAUUGAUUUUUCUCUUUCUGCUUGCUGAACCUUUCGAUUGUUCUGAUGCUUUCUCUAUUUGAUGUUGCUUAUACCAGCUGCAUUAGUUAAUUGCUCUGCUCCUAAUGUUAUGUUACUCUACGUCGUGGGGGCUGUGAUUCCAUGUCUGUUUCUCCAGUCCCUGCCAAAAAGUCUACAAUGGUGUGAUUACUGGAGAUUGUAUUCAGAAGUUGCUGGGGAAGAACACCCCACGCUCUCCAUUAAGAGCAGCCUUUUUCAUUGUCCUGCUUGCAUCGUGAUUGGAUUCCUCAUAGCGCCUUCUUUUCCCGGACGCGCCUGCAUUUACAUAUAUGUUU
rnacentral:lncRNA from 1 species